AGAAAAGGUAGGGGACAACCCACCACUUCUCAAUGUCUCCUUUGUCCAGAUUUUCUUGGUGAACAGCUGGAGGGCCCAUGCCUGGCAGUGGCUGUCUGUACAUGACCCAGGCAUUCCGCCUUAGUAUGAGCUGGAGAAAGAAUGAGUGAUAUCUACAGAGUUACUUAGGCACCUAUGCCUCAAUUUUGGCCAACCCACAAAACUCCUGUUAGGCUGCUGCCUAAUCUUCGAGUAGCCUGAACUUGCUUGGUGCCUAUGUUUGUGCAGUAAAUGUUCCCUAAAUGCCUAUGUUUCUGACUCUGAAUAUGCACACUGCUGCCUCACUUUAGGGUCCUAGGCACUUAACAUGUACCUAAGCUCCAGAGUGAGCCAUAAACCAGGUGAAAGAUAGGUUCUCAGCUGCCUUAGCCUAUACCUAUGCUACAAGGAAGACCCCCAUGGAAGAAGCCUGGGGAACCUCAAACAGCAGGUUGCAGUUUAAAAAAGAAAACAAUAUAUUGAUAUGACCUUACAACCUUCAGUACUGUCUGGAUGCGGCACACAAAGGAAAACUUGAAAAACUGUCUUCUACACUUUAAGGAUCCAGAGUUCUGAAGGAUUGACUAGUGGGCCAGAACAAAUGUGAAUCAGAGAAGAUGUGAUGUCUCCAGACAUUGUCCCUCAAGUGGUGCACCUUCUCCUUCCCUUCCUAUCUCCAGUAGGGCUGUAAUUCUAGGAUCAAUGGCUGAGUCCAUUACGGUCGGGCAUUGAACAGGCAUGGAAGGGGCACCCUUCAAGGCCACCAAGCAGAAGCUGCAGACAGAUGCACCAUUAGACUUACAGUCAGAAGAGAAAGGGAAAGAUAAGUGUCAAAAUUCCUUCAUAAAAUAUCUUUACUAAGAAAUGCUUCAGGGCACUUUAGUUUUGGAAUACUUCAAUACAAGCUCUGCACUGCACACAAAAAAUGUGCUGAAUACAGCCUAGCAGAGAGGAGGUAGGGUGUUCUGUUGCAUGGAAGAUAUAAAUGUUGGGUGCCCCUCCCUCAGUAUGGGUAGGGAAAGGGUCGUGAAUAUUGGCAUUGUGUUCAUAGACAGUCUGUCCUCUGGUGUCCGUGCCUUGUUGUGGCGGGACACCUUGCGUGCUGUAAUGAUCCCCAGAGUCUGUGUCAGUGGGGGCUUUUUGCUCCUGGUGGGUUCAACCAUGCCAGAUUGGUCUGUGGGGGAAGGGCCAGACAAAACAGACACCCUGGUCCUCCAGGUUGGGGGUUAGGCACAGGGCUAACAACCCUGUCCCGUAAAAAAAACAAAAUAUGUUAUUGAAACAGAAACAGAGAAAUUGACCAAUACUGUGUGUGAUGGCCUUCAGGAGUCAAUGACCCAUAUGACUGUCAGUGUUGAAAUCCAAAAGGAAGUCACUGGCAUCAGGGGUGGCUCUAGACAUUUUGCCCCUCCAAGCACGGAGGGUACGCUGGACCCGCGGCUUCGGCGGACCUCCCGCAGGCAUCCACCGAAGCCGCGGGACCAGUGGACCCUCCGCAGGCAAGCUGCCAAAGGCACCCUGCCUGUCGCCCUAGCAGCGACCGGCAGAGCGCCCUCCACGGCUUGCUGUCCCAGGCACGCGCUUGGAGCGCUGGUGCCUUGAGCCGCUCCUGACUGGCAUGAAGACUGAAGUGCUCAACAGCAAAACAAAAAAACAAACUUGUUUUUUGGAACCUACAGACAAUGUACGAAGCAGGGAAGCUAGCUCAAGUCACAGCAGAGAUGAGACGCUACAGCUUACACAUCCUGGAUGUCAGCAAGACCAGAUGGAUGGGAUCAGGAAGAUUAACAACAGCCUUGGGAGAAACUUUGCUGUUUUCUGGACAGGAUGAUGGACAACAUCAUGAGGGUGUUACCAUACUUUUGUAGAAAGGAGUGGAGCAUUCCCUGCUUGGAUGGAAAUCCAUCAGCAGCAGACUUAUGAGAGCCAGACUGAAAGGGAAACAUAAUAAUAUCACCCUUAUUCAGUGAUAUGCUCCAACAAAAGACAGUGAUGAAGAAGUAAAGGACAAAUUCUACCUUACACUACAGGCGGAGUUAGAGAGAGUACCACACCACGACCUAACUAUCAUCGGGGGAGUCCUGAAUGCCAAGGUCGGUAAGGACAACACAAACAAUGACAGAGCAAUGGGAAGACAUGGGUGUGGUACUAUGAAUGAAAACAGAGAAAGACUUGUUGAUUUCUGUAAUAUGAAUGACCUAGUCAUUGGCAGAACCCUGUUUGACAUCGUGAAAUUCACAAGCUGUAGAAACCAGAUGAGCCCUGAAGAAAAAAAUUUUAGACACAAAAUCCCAGAAGCUAGAGGACAAAUACCAUGAGCAGUAUAGCAAGGCACAUCAGGAGGUCAAACACCUUGUGAGAGCGGACAAACGGCAUUAUAUUGAUAAUCUGGCAACACAAGCAGAGGAUGCAGCUGCUUGUGUUGAACAAGGAACCAUCUACAAAAUGACGUGGCUUAUCGGUGGUAAACGGCAGACACCACCAAACACUCUCAUCAGGAACAAACAAGGACACCUACUAACAACCAAAAAAAAAAAACAAGAAAUACACUGGACAGAGCAUUUCAAAGAAUUGCUGAACAGGGAGCCACCUAAAAAGGAAGCAAACAUCCAGGAGACAGAAGAAGAUCUUAAUAUCAACACAGACAUCCCAACUAAGGAAGAGAUCAUUCAAGCCAUCAAAUCCUUUAAAAAUGGGAAAGCCCCUGGCUUGAAUACAGAAUUGUUCAAAGUAAAUCCUAAAUUAGCAGCAUCUAUCCUGGCCCCUCUAUUUAUAUCAGUCUGGGAAAAGGAAAAAGUGCCAGAUGAGUGGACCAAUGGGGUUAUAGUGAAGAUACCAUAGAAAGGAACUCUCAGUGAUUGUAAUAACUGGUGGGGUAUUAUCGUAACACUUUUAUCUGUGCCAAGCACAGUAAUAUGUAAGAUCAUAGUCCAGCAUAUAUCAGAGGCAGUUGAUAGUAGUCUCAGAAAAGGGCAAGCUGGUUUUCGGAAAGGGUGUGGAUGCACAGAGCAGAUCAUCAUUCUACGAAAUAUAAUAGAACAGUGCUUAGAAAGGCAAUGACAACUCUACAUAAAUUUCAUAGACUUUGAGAAGGCUUUUGAUAGCAUUCACGGGACCAGGCUAUGGCGCAUUCUGCGGGCAUAUGGAAUUCUUUUCCGUAUAAUCAACAUCAUCAAAAGCUUCUAUUUCAACUUUACAUGCAGUAUUGAUCACAGUGAGUUCAGUUUUGAAUUCAAAAAAGCAGUAUGUCAGGGAUGUGUCAUGUCUGCAAUCGUCUUCAACAUUGUCAUCGACUGUGUAAUGUGGCAUACACCAGAAGACAUGCCAAGAGGCAUUAAAUGGACACUAUUCUCAUCCCUUGAAAAUCUGGACUUUGCAGAUGAUGUCACUCUCCUAUCACAUACCCAACACCAUAUACAAGAAAAAAACAACUUAACUCAACGGAUUCAGCCAGCAAAUUGGAUUGAAAAUCAACCGCAAUAAGUCAGAUAUCAUGAUCUUUAAUAUUGCCUCACCAUCACCAGCACAGAUAGGGGAUUAUGUUCUUACCAAUGUAGAAACAUUCACAUACAUGGGCAGCACCAUCAGCCAGGACGGUGGAACAAGCCAGGACAUCUGGAACAAAAUCAAUAAAGCCAGGAACACCUUCAAGAGCUUAAAUACAGUCUGGAAAUCAUCAAAACACAACAUUAAAACCAAAUUCAAGAUUUAUGAGAGCUGCGUACUUUCAACACUACUUUAUAGUGCGGAAUGCUGGGGAAUGAGAAAGUAUGACAUGUUCAAACUAUCUUCAUUCCAUACAACCUACCUCAGAAAAAUCCUCCAUAUCUUUUGGCCCAGAACAAUCUCAAACCAGGAUCUACUGACACAGUGCAGACAAAAGGAUCUGAGCACCAGCAUUGCCAGGACGAGCUGGAGAUCGAUUGGUCAUGUGCUUCGGAUGGAAACUGAUUCCAUCACCAGAGUAGCAAUAAGAUGGACACCUGAAGGCAAGCGAAAAUGAGGCUGCCCAAAAACAACAUGGCAAAGAGCUGUGGAAGCCGAGCUGAAAAACCUGGGGCACAGCUGGGGAACCAUUGAAAGACUUGCCAGAAACAGACAGGAGUGAAGGAGCUUCAUCACUCCCCUAAACACCAGAAGUGUAACAGGAAUAUGAUGAUGAUGAUUAUGUUCAUAGACAGUGGUGAUUUUGGAUGUUAUCUCACUCCUGUGGGUGACAAAGGCACAUAGAACCUAGCUGCUACUGGCAUCCUGAAGUUACCGAGGCCCAUACACUGCUAUCCUGUUUACAGCAACAGUGCCAGCUGAACUCACUGCAUUGUGGUAUGGAGAAGUUUCCUCUCCCAGUGGAGGAAAUAAAGCUGCCAUCCCUAGA